UACACUUUAAGUAAUAAACAUUCAUUACUGUCCUUUUUCAUUUAGUACUUUCCUUUCAUUCACAGGGACCUACCCAAGGUAGUCCAGCUUGCGCCGCGCCUAAUGGCCCCGUGGUAGUAUACACUCCCCACGGCAAUCCACUUCGGCACCCAAUCCCGCACGGGCGAGCAACUGUCGCAUAGGCCAACUCCGGAGUGCCGGCUUGUAGGGAGCUACCCUCACAAGCGUGUGCGAAUGAGCACGAUGGCAAGCAAGCAUAUUUCACUGUCCACAUGUCUCAAUUCUCAUGUUUUCAUUUGCAAUGUUCUCGCUCUCGAUCCUUUGAUCGACAUUUCAGUGUAACCAAUAUUAACAACAACUAGAAUCCACUAGUUUAGUAAGCAUGUAGGAGUAAUGCUAAUUUACAGGCAUUAGAAUCUUUUCACUAUCAUGGCACUACCAACAUAGUCCCAAAGCAUGUCAUGGUUCUCUACUUUAUAAUCGAUAAAGUUACGAGAAUAUCAUUGUUCUCUACUUUACAAAAGCAUAAUUAUCAUGUCCAUUAGUUAUUCAACUUAACUAAAGAUAAACAUAAACAUAAGCGUAAGCAUAAUUAAGCAUGAGUUCUCUCUACUUCAUAGAGAUUCUAAUUCAAGUAUUUCGAGUGACAAGUUCCAAGUCCUUAUCAAUCACGAUAGCGCGCAACCAUACCAAUUCUAUAGUUACAUAUAGAACAUAGAGGAGCUUCACUUGCUCUGGUUAGGUCAAACCCACCUAUUACUCGACUCAAGUCAGCCCAAAUGAGUCCCAAGAUGUAGCUCAACUAGGUCUCGACCCUGCUGGAAAUGAAACAUAAGAAUCGUGUCAUAAUGGCUACUACAAGUCCAAUUUCGGCGAAAUUCUCAAUUGCAACUAUAUUGCAACUUAAUUCCCUGUUUUGGCUCAGUGAAAUACCUCAAGUUAAGUCUCCAAAAGCUCUCACCACUCAGCUGAAAGCAAUCCAAGGGUC
rnacentral:lncRNA from 1 species